UACGUAGGGUGCAAGCGUUGUCCGGAAUUAUUGGGCGUAAAGAGCUCGUAGGCGGUCUGUCACGUCGGCUGUGAAAACCCGAGGCUCAACCUCGGGCCUGCAGUCGAUACGGGCAGACUAGAGUCCGGUAGGGGAGUGUGGAAUUCCCGGUGUAGCGGUGAAAUGCGCAGAUAUCGGGAGGAACACCCGUAGCGAAGGCGGCACUCUGGGCCGGUACUGACGCUGAGGAGCGAAAGCGUGGGGAGCAAACAGG
rnacentral:rRNA from 1 species